UACGUAGGUGGCAAGCGUUGUCCGGAUUUACUGGGCGUAAAGAGCGCGCAGGCGGUCGUUCAAGUCGCGUGUGAAAGCCCCCGGCUCAACUGGGGAGGGUCACGCGAUACUGAUCGACUCGAAGGCAGGAGAGGUAGUGGAAUUCCCGGUGUAGUGGUGAAAUGCGUAGAUAUCGGGAGGAACACCAGUGGCGAAGGCGACUACCUGGCCUGUUCUUGACGCUGAGGCGCGAAAGCUAGGGGAGCAAACGGG
rnacentral:rRNA from 1 species